AAAAAAAAAAAAAAAACAACAAAAUCCAAAACACUUGAUGAAGAAAAUUUGGGUUCGUACCUUAAGCUGCAAAUGGUGUACCUUUGAGACUUACCAAAUUCAAUACGAAGAGACUUUGGUUUACGGGAAUAAGCAAAGCUCCCCUCUUUCUCUAGUUUAAGCUUGGUGUUGAUGAAGAGGCCAAAGAAGAAAGAGACCCAGGCACUUGAAUCGUAGAAAAAGCAACAAAGAUGGAAGGAAUACUUCUUAUAAACAAUUAUCAGAAAAUUAUUGUAAAUUAUUUAUAUUAUUAUUAUUAUUAUUUCAGUUGUUCACUCCCACCUUAGUUGAAGCUGACACUGACACAUAGAUGGCAAAUGAGAGGGAGAAAGAAGCAGAAGAAAGAGGACCGAGGAGAUCCUAGCUCCCCACAACUAAUCUGUGCCUUCGUGCGCACUGCGCUCAGUCUACCAUUUUCAGCCACGUAAGCGAUAUUCGACCUUGUAAUGCGCACCCUGGCAGAUUUAUAUGUCGGCAGAGGCAGAAAAUUGCAGAGAGAGAUCUACAAUCUUUGUAGAGGCUGAGAAUUUUACCUGAAAUGCACUAUUCCACUUGAAAAACAAACUAAAGAUCCGAAAACACCUUAUCAGAUCUCCCAAACAUGACAUUUCAUCUUACUGCCAUCAAUGAUUUCCUGACCAAUCACUUUUCUUGGGAAACAACAUCCCCACUUUCA
rnacentral:misc_RNA from 1 species